ACGGACCAAAGUGGGGGACCUUCGGGCCUCACGCCAUAAGAUUAGCCCAAGUGGGAUUAGCUAGUUGGUGAGGUAAUGGCUCACCAAGGCGACGAUCCCUAGCUGGUUUGAGAGGAUGAUCAGCCACACUGGGACUGAGACACGGCCCAGACUCCUACGGGAGGCAGCAGUGNGGAAUAUUGCACAAUGGGCGCAAGCCUGAUGCAGCCAUGCCGCGUGUGUGAAGAAGGCCUUCGGGUUGUAAAGCACUUUCAGUAAGGAGGAAAGGUUAAGUGUUAAUAGUACUUAGCUGUGACGUUACUUACAGAAGAAGCACCGGCUAACU
rnacentral:rRNA from 1 species